GCAUUCUUUGAGUAAUGGUGUAACUGGGGUGUUGAGAUGACCUUAUUUCUUUCCUUGAUGGCUACUCAACUUUGGUGGAAAACUUUACCAUGAAGAUAUACUGUUGCUAUUAUAAUGAACUAAUGGGUACAGUUGAUGAUAAUGUAUGGUUGCAUGGAUUGUUAUGAAUUAUGGGUACAGACGAUGAUAACGAACGGUUGCAUGGAGUGUUAUGAACCAUGAGCACAGAUGAUGAUAAUGAAUUACUAAACCGGAAUUGAAUAAUCAACGAGAACAGGUGAUGUUAGAACGCAAAA